GAAAUAUAGGCUAAACUAAAACCAUGGGCCUUCAAAGCCCAAACUGUGAAUUACUCACUAUUCUGCUCUCUAAGAC
rnacentral:tRNA from 1 species